GAACACGCCUAAAACCUUUGGAAAGGAACCUUGUGCAGGGCUCAGCUGACAGUGUUCCUCUGAAGUAGCAGGACUGGCUGCUCCAGGAAGGGAGAUCUGGACAUGGAAGAGCUGGCUCAGGACGUGGCACCCGCUCAGUGCCCCUUUGGGAGGAUUUAUCUGGUCCAGCUCUCUCUGUUCCUUGCGUGCUCUGGGCCAGGCGGUGGUGCCACCUGAGAGCAUCCUCCCCUUCUCACAGGACCUGCAAAGCCCUUCCUUCCUUCCCCCAGCUUCAGGCAACCAGGACUGAGAUGGAAAAAUCUGUGCACAAAGCGACCAGAGCUCGAUCUCUGAAGUGGUGCAGCGUGUGUGUUAAUGCCAGAAAAUAAAAAAGGAGAAGGGGUCUGAAGCUUACUCUGCUAACAUGUGAUACUUCCUGCAGAGCACUGCCUCCACCCAGCACGUGUUUUUAAACAAAAUUCACGUGAAGAAUUUUUGGGGAUGACAGAGCACUGAAAUGUGGAAAAAGAAAUACCAGGGGGCUGAGAAGUGAACUGUGGUUCACAGGCAUCACCAUUUCCGGGAAAAUGGAAAAAGAAGAAUGAACACUUGCAAAACUUUGGUGAGUUAAACAUUUCAUAAGCACAGCCUCAGGGUCAUGUUAAUGCAAUCAUUUACACGGGAAUAUUAAUUCUUCAAGCUUUUGUGGCUUCAGUUAAGCUGUUCCUUAGAAAAAUGGUGGAGUUGCAAAGCAGUCUCUGGAAGCCACAGGGGCAUCUGUGCAUCCCACCACCCAUCCUGACCCUGCCAAGCAUUACAGGUGUGCACAUCAUUUUCUUCCAGAGCAGUCAGAGGUUUAUUUGCUGCUUGCAGGUGAGCAUGAGGCUGGAAAUGUGCAUCCCUGCAGAGUCCUGCAGGCAGAGAGCACCUGUUCGUGGCACUGUCCUGGGACGUGCAGAGGAAACACGGGGUAAACAGGCACGUCUGUUUGUCGCUGUGGGGUCUGGACCUCAGCAGGGGGAAAUCAGUCAGAAUCCUCAGGGGACCCCUUGCUGUCACCUUCCCAGAGCCGUUCCAGCCCAGGGAACGGGGCAUUUGCCGUCUCCACCCAUUCCAUUGGCAGGGCUGAGGCGCAGAGGUGACUGCGGUCCCCGGUCCCUGCC